UUAGAGUUUGAUCCUGGCACAGGAUGAACGCUAGCGACAGGCUUAACACAUGCAAGUCGAGGGGCAGCGGUGGUGAAGGCUUGCCUUUACCAGCCGGCGACCGGCGCACGGGUGAGUAACACGUAUGCAACCUGCCUGCCACAGCCGGAUAAUCGGGAGAAAUUCCGUCUAAUACGGCAUAAUGCACCUAUGGGACAUCCUGUUGGUGCCAAAGGUUAAUUCCGGUGGCGGAUGGGCAUGCGUCGCAUUAGCUAGUUGGCGGGGUAACGGCCCACCAAGGCGACGAUGCGUAGGGGUUCUGAGAGGAAGGUCCCCCACACUGGUACUGAGACACGGACCAGACUCCUACGGGAGGCAGCAGUGAGGAAUAUUGGUCAAUGGACGCAAGUCUGAACCAGCCAAGUAGCGUGCAGGAUGACGGCCCUCCGGGUUGUAAACUGCUUUUAGUUGGGAAUAAAAGGGGGCUCGUGAGCCCCGUAUUGUAUGUACCAUCAGAAAAAGGACCGGCUAAUUCCGUGCCAGCAGCCGCGGUAAUACGGAAGGUCCGGGCGUUAUCCGGAUUUAUUGGGUUUAAAGGGAGCGUAGGCCGGCUUUUAAGUCAGCUGUGAAAGUCCGCGGCUCAACCGUGGAAUUGCAGUUGAAACUGGAGGCCUUGAGUGCACACAGGGAUGCCGGAAUUCAUGGUGUAGCGGUGAAAUGCUUAGAUAUCAUGAAGAACUCCGAUCGCGAAGGCAAGUGUCCGGGGUGCAACUGACGCUGAGGCUCGAAAGUGCGGGUAUCAAACAGGAUUAGAUACCCUGGUAGUCCGCACCGUAAACGAUGAAUACUCGUGUCCCGCGAUAUAUUGUGGGACACUUAGCGAAAGCGUUAAGUAUUCCACCUGGGGAGUACGCCGGCAACGGUGAAACUCAAAGGAAUUGACGGGGGCCCGCACAAGCGGAGGAACAUGUGGUUUAAUUCGAUGAUACGCGAGGAACCUUACCCGGGCUUGAAAUGUGCAGGACUCAGGCAGAGACGCCUGUUUCUUCGGACCUGCAUGUAGGUGCUGCAUGGUUGUCGUCAGCUCGUGCCGUGAGGUGUCGGCUUAAGUGCCAUAACGAGCGCAACCCUUCUCCCCGUUUGCCAUCAGUUAAUGCUGGGCACUCCGGGGACACUGCCAUCGUAAGAUGUGAGGAAGGUGGGGAUGACGUCAAAUCAGCACGGCCCUUACGUCCGGGGCUACACACGUGUUACAAUGGGGGGUACAGAGGGCCGCUAUCCCGCGAGGGUGCGCCAAUCCUCAAAACCUCUCUCAGUUCGGACUGGAGUCUGCAACCCGACUCCACGAAGCUGGAUUCGCUAGUAAUCGCGCAUCAGCCAUGGCGCGGUGAAUACGUUCCCGGGCCUUGUACACACCGCCCGUCA
rnacentral:rRNA from 1 species